GUUAAAAAUUAAAUACGGUUAACUUAGUUACUGUCUGCUUCAAACUUCUUCAAUCAACAACAAUAAUCAGGACAUACUAGAUAUUUAUAUACAGUGUCGGUUGACACGAUCAUUAAAGAGUUGUGAUGACUUCGCGUGCAUCUCGAAAGGGAUGGGGAUUGAAUCUAAAAGUUAGAUUAUUAAGGCCGUAAAAAGUAAAAAAAAGGUUUGAUAUGAAAAAAAAAAAAAAAUGCGUUGUCAAUUUUCUCGACUUUUUUUUUUUUUUGAAAAAAUAAUGUGUAGGCACGUGCCUAUAGUGCCUAACGGCAGCUACGCCC
rnacentral:lncRNA from 1 species